AUGGCCAAGCGUCGGCGUGAGGGGUCAAGCGAGAAGCGCUGCGACUGCGGCAAGCAGCGGCGCAAGCACCUCUACCUCGUCUUGGACGACUGGGACAAAGGGUUCAGCAUCCGCAAGCUCGACGCCCUCAGCUUCCUGGACGACUCUGACGACUCUGACGACGACGGCGGCGGGACCCUCAGGCGUCUCCCUGACCCUCCGGCGGUCCGUAUCACCGAGGCGCGACACUCCCCUAUGCUCUUCGCCGGCCUGGGCACCACCAUCUUCGUCGCCAACAAGGAACAACGCUCCCCGCAGGUCACCGGUGCCCUCAUCUACGACACGGAGACGGCCGCCAUGGCCAUGGGCCCUGGCCUCCCCGAGAACCCAUGCUGCGUCUUCGUCGCUGUCGGCCGCGGCCGAAGCAAGAAUGACAAGGGACGAAAGUACAACGACGAGAAGCUGUACACGCUGGCAAAAGUUGACCAUGGAGACAGAUCAAAUCACCCGAGCGGGCACCUGAUGGGCGUGGCCGUCCACGCGCUGUCAUGGGCGCGCUCCCCGGCCGCCGUCGCCGAGCCAUGGCUCCCGAGCCACGAGUGGGCCUGGGAGAGCGUCGCCGCGCCCAUGGCGCCGUUCGACGGCAACGAGGAAACGGUCGUCUCCUACGCGGUGCACCCGGACGGGCACACCAUAUUCUUCUCCACGAGGGGCAGGGGGUGGCGACCGGCGGGCACCUACUCUUUCGACACGGAGCAGCGCGAGUGGAGGUCGCACGGGGACUGGAUGCUGCCUUUCGAUGGUCAGGGUUACUACGAAAGGGAGCUCGACGCCUGGGUCGGGCUCCACAAGGACGGCUACAUCUGCUGCUGCCAGGCCGCGACGGCCACGCCAGGAGCGGCGCCGGAGUGGAGGAAGACGGAGCGCAAGCUGUUCCGUGAGGGCGACCGGGAGCGGCACCUAGGAGCCACGCUCACCUACAUGGGCAACAAUGUCUUCUGCCUCGUGGAGAGCGUGGUGCAGGAGGCCGUGGAGCCCGGGCGGGCCUAUGGCGCCGGCCGCGGCUGCGCGCUCCAUGUCACCGUGUUCGGCCUCAAGUACAACCGUGACGGGGAGCUGCAGUCCACCGUCCGCCGCAUCACCAACUCGUACGCGGUCUGCAAGUACAUCCCGGGCUUCACUCAUGAAGCAUUCUGGAUGUAG
rnacentral:rRNA from 1 species